rnacentral:tRNA from 1 species
CUCUAAAAAGUAUUAUAAAUGUACAUUUGCCUUCCAAGCAAAAAGACUAGAAAAAUCUAGGUUAGAGA